rnacentral:rRNA from 1 species
ACCAGCAGCCAUAUCACCCUGCAACUCACAACUGGCAGCCCACGGAAGCUAAGCAGGCGUGAGCCUGGUCAGUACCUGGAUGCGAGACCUCCUGGGAAAAACUAAAGUUGCUGCUGGAG